rnacentral:rRNA from 1 species
UACAGAGGUCUCAAGCGUUGUUCGGAUUCAUUGGGCGUAAAGGGUGCGUAGGCGGCGGGGUAAGUCUGAUGUGAAAUCCCGGGGCUCAACCCCGGAACUGCAUUGGAUACUGCCUUGCUUGAGUACUGGAGAGGAGACUGGAAUUUACGGUGUAGCAGUGAAAUGCGCAGAUAUCAGGAGGAACACCGGUGGCGAAGGCGGGUCUCUGGGCCGUAACUGACGCUGAGGAGCGAAAGCAUGGGGAGCGAACAGG